rnacentral:misc_RNA from 1 species
GAUGAAGAACGCAUCGAAAUGCGAUAAGUAAUGUGAAUUGCAGAAUUCAGUGAAUCAUCGAGUUUUUGAACGCAUAUUGCGCCCUCUGGUAUUCCGGGGGGCAUGCCUGUUCGAGCGUCAUUAAAUAGCCCUCAAGCAUAGCUUGGUGUUGGGCUUUUUUACGUCCUUGACUGGGAUGGGCCUAAAAAUUAGUGGCGAUGGCUUUUUUACUUUCAAGCGUAGUAAAUCUCGUCUUGCUAAAGAGGAAAAAGAUUUUUUUUCUGCCAAAAAUUUUAACAUUUAAAGUUGACCUCGGAUCAGGUAGGAUUACCCGCUGAACUUAAGCAUAUCAAUAAGCGGAGGA